rnacentral:lncRNA from 1 species
CGAUCGCUGACUCGCAGUUUCUAUCUGAACAGGGUAAGUUGACAAAGAUUUACUUUAAGGCUUUAAUGAUGAUAAUAAUACUAAUAAUAAUAAUAUUGUAAAUCAUAGAAUUCUGUGAAUCUUUCGAUGUUACAGUAAUUAUUUCGAAGCGAAAACAUAAAAAUAUAAGGAAAAUAUAUUAAUUCGUCUUAAAUAAUAUUUUCUUCUUUAGAUACAAGACCUGAAAUUUGAGGGAGGUCAAUAGUCGAUCACAUCGGCUACAAUAUUUAACUGGUACUUAAUUUAUCGACCCAGAAGGAAUAAAAGGUUAAAGUCAGCCUCGACGGAAUUUGAACUCAGAACGUACCUCGUCUUAAUUAAUAACUUCCAAACUGAAAUGUUGGUUUGUUGUUUGUGAAAACCUAUUAUCGGAUGUUAGAUGUGAUAUAGAGGAAAUUUAUUUG